UACGUAGGGCGCAAGCGUUGUCCGGAAUUAUUGGGCGUAAAGAGCUCGUAGGCGGCUUGUCACGUCGGGUGUGAAAGCCCGGGGCUUAACCCCGGGUCUGCAUUCGAUACGGGCUAGCUAGAGUGUGGUAGGGGAGAUCGGAAUUCCUGGUGUAGCGGUGAAAUGCGCAGAUAUCAGGAGGAACACCGGUGGCGAAGGCGGCGACCUGGGUGGAUACUGACGCUGAGGUGCGAAAGCGUGGGGAGCAAACAGG
rnacentral:rRNA from 1 species